AACACACAUGCACAGCAAUCAUCCACACAACACACUCACCUCUCACCGCACCAACCUCACACGCCCAAUAACACCCCACAGGGUGGACUGGACGACCUGGUGGCCAUGGCGGGGAUAGACCCACCCGAUCCCAUCCCGAACUCGGCCGUGAAAUGCCCCAGCGCCUAUGAUACUGCGUCUCAAGACGCGGGAAAGUCGGUCGCCGCCAGGU
rnacentral:rRNA from 1 species